UGAAAGCAGAGGACGGAACGGGCAGCCGUCGCCCAUUGUUAGGAGAUGUGGGAAUGUCACCCCACCUAUUUCA
ncrna:unclassified sequences skipping-rope RNA